GGAGAGUUGCCCGAGUGGCCAAAGGGAGCAGACUGUAAAUCUGCCGGCUAUGCCUUCGAUGGUUCGAAUCCAUCACUCUCCA
rnacentral:tRNA from 1 species